rnacentral:misc_RNA from 1 species
CCACCCUCAAGCCCAGGCUUGGUGUUGGGGAUCGCCCCUCCCUCGCGAGGCGGCGGCCCUUGAAUUCAUCGGCGGUGCCGGUGUGGCCCUGAGCGCAGCAGCGAUGCAGCUCUCGACCCUCCGAAACCAGCCGCGCAAGACAGCAGGCGGUACCCUUCGCGGUCCACCGGCAAAAAUCCAAA